CCGAGUUUACAACUCCCAAACCCAUGUGAACCUUACCAUUCGUUUGCCUCGGCGGACGCCUCCCUCGCGGGGCGGCCGCCAGAGGACCCAAACCCUCUGAAUUCGUUUCGCGGUAUCUUCUGAGUAACACAAGCAAAAAUAAAAUCA
rnacentral:misc_RNA from 1 species